AACCUGCAUGUAACUCAGAGUACAUUUAAUAUUUGUAUGAUGGGUCAUUCUAUGAUUGAAUUUCAAUCAGAAAAAUAUUCACUAAAUUUUGGUAAAAUACAUGGUAUCUUUUACAUUUCUGUCCCUUUUGUCUGUAAAUUAUUGCUUUACUUACAUUGUAAAAUGAGGUUAAAUGUGUAUCACUGAAUUGUAUGAUUUUUUCAGGAUCAGCUGAGAUGUUAUUUCACUGGAUUAUUUAAUGGAUAGGCUUAUUGGGCAUAUAGUUGGAUAUCUCUGGAUCAGCUGAGAUGUUAUUUCACUGGAUUAUUUAAUGGAUAGGCUUAUUGGGCAUAUAGUUGGAUAUCUCUGUCAUCAACAUGGAAGAUAUGGUUUGUUCCUAACCAUCUAUAAUCAAUUCUCUAUGAAGUUCAGACUGUCUGCUGUUCCUUUGGAAAUACACAGUUAGUCAACCAACAUAGAAACACACAAACUUGAAGGGAAAGAAUACUUUAAUGUGGCUCAUCAGGAUGACCAGAAAAGAAAUCUUAAUGGCCCUCUUGACUAUGUAUAAAGACUGUAACCUUAUAACUGAUGUAAGAUGAUCUGAUUGUGUGGAAAUAAAAUUUCCUGGUGUUUCUACUACCCAAGAUCUUCUUAUGAGUGUAUGGGACUGCUGUAAACCUUCUCCUGUUUAUAAAAAUAAUACCUUGGAGCAUGACACUUUAUUCAUAAAAGGAUUCUCUAGUGAGGGCUUAUGGAAAUGAUCUAUGUCUACUCUUAGAAUGGUGAAAGACUAUCAGAUUAUGCAAAGACUAACAGAAUAUCCUCUCUUGGAACACUGAAACAAGAAAACCAAACAGAAUGGAGGAUUUAAGAAGAACAUAGAUAAAUAUGAUUUUCAACCAAUUUAACCAGUACAAUCAUAGACUGUGGUUUACAGAAUGACAAAGAAAGGUGCCAGAAUUGUAUCUUUCACUGUCAGACACUGACUAUGGAUAAAGUGUAAUCAUUUAUCAAACUGAGAUCUAGUCAAAUCAAGUAUUGAAAAUAUGAUUUUCUGAUAGCAUGAGCUCUUUAAAAACUAAUUCUCACAGACCUCAAAGUAUCUGAAUGUGACUUUUAUUUUUACCAAUUCAUAUUGAAGACUGUUGUUAUGUAUGGGAAUCACACAUUUAAACCUUUUAUUUUUCAUCUUAUUUUUACAACCCCCUAGAAAUUACACAGAUAUCCAGAUGCUGGAUUUAAUGUUAUUAUUUAACUUUCCUGGAAUUGUAAAUAUAUUUUGUUUGUGUAUGUAUCAUGUUUAAUUUUGAAUUUAAAAUUGGUCUCAAUAAGACCCCCAAUAAAGAUGCAAGUGUCCCAUAAUCUGUGGUUUAAUAAUAUCUUGAAUAUCUUUAUCAUACCAUAUUCAUCAUACUAAUUACAUAUAGAAUGGUUGUAGGAAUACACUUUGUUGUUUAGGACACUUUGUCAAGGUCAAAGCAUAAGAUUAUUGAGAUGACUUCUUUGACAAUAAUUUGUAACUUACAAACUUCACAUCAUAAGUACACAGAUGAAGAAUCAAUAAGAUAUUUCUAUAGAUUUUUUGGAUCAUUUACUCCUGGGUAAAAGUUAGUUACUGAGAUUACUGAUUUGAGUCCUGUAAUGCAAUAACUUAAACAUUGUGUGAUAACUUAUAGACUUUAUAAAAAUUAGGUGCAAAUUCUUAGGAAAGGAUUGAAAUGUUAAUCAAAUGUACAAUGUUCAAGGGUGUUUAUAUGACUAUUACUAUGUAAUACCUAGGGUUUCUGUAAAAAUCCUAUAUUCACUACAUAGAUAAAGACCGGUAUAAUAUAUAUUUUAAACUAUGAUGAAGGAAAAAAAAGGGUCAAAAACUCUCCCCUUCAUAUCUUUCAUAUUCUGUCAUACACAACAAUAGAUAAAUUGCAGUCAUUUAACAAACUGAGGUCUAAUCAAAUCCUAGAAUUGAUAUUGUGAUUUUCUGAUAGUAUGAGAUCUUCAAAAAAAAAAUAAUAAUUCCCAGACUUCAAAGUAUCUAAAUGUGACUUUUAUUUUUACCAAUUCAUAUUGAAGACAGUUGUUAUGUAUGAGAAGUAUACAUUUAAACCUUUUAUUUUUCAUCUUAUUUCUACAACCCCUAACAAAUUACACAGAUGUUUAAAAGCUAGCUUUGGUGUAAUUAUUACUUUCCUGGAACUGUAAAUACAUUUUGUUUGUGUAUGUGUGUGUGUGUGUGUCCUAUUUUGAAUUUAAUAGGUCUCAAUAGGACCCCCAUAAAGAUGUAAGUGUCCCCUGAUCUGUGAUGUAAUAAUAUCUUGAAUAUUUCUAUCAACCAUUAGACUUCAUGCUUACUACACAGAACAGGUUAGAGUAAUACACUUAGUUUUAUAGGACACUUUGUCAGGGUCAAAGCAUGAGAUUAUUGAGAUAACUACCUUUGACAAUAAUUUGUAACCUGCAAAAUUCACAUCAUAAGUAAAGAAA